rnacentral:rRNA from 1 species
AUGGCGUCCAAGAGGAUACAGAAGGAGCUUAAGGAUCUGCAGAAGGACCCCCCUACCUCAUGCAGCGCAGGUCCUGUGGGUGAAGAUAUGUUCCAUUGGCAGGCAACAAUAAUGGGCCCAUCUGACAGCCCAUAUUCUGGUGGAGUUUUCCUAGUUACUAUCCACUUCCCUCCUGAUUAUCCUUUCAAACCACCAAAGGUGGCAUUCCGCACCAAGGUGUUCCAUCCAAACAUCAACAGCAACGGGAGCAUUUGUCUGGACAUCCUCAAGGACCAAUGGAGCCCCGCUCUGACCAUUUCCAAGGUGCUGCUGUCCAUCUGCUCCCUGCUGUGUGACCCGAACCCUGAUGACCCUCUGGUCCCUGAGAUCGCCCACAUGUACAAGACGGACCGGCACAAGUACGAGAGCACCGCCAGGACCUGGACGCAAAGGUAUGCCAUGUAA